rnacentral:rRNA from 1 species
AAUGAACGCUGGCGGCAGGCCUAACACAUGCAAGUCGAACGAGGUAGCAAUACCUAGUGGCGGACGGGUGAGUAACGCGUGGGAACGUGCCCCUUGGUACGGAAUAGCCCUGGGAAACUGGGAGUAAUACCGUAUGUGGUCGAGAGACGAAAGAUUUAUCGCCAAGGGAUCGGCCCGCGUUGGAUUAGGUAGUUGGUGGGGUAAUGGCCUACCAAGCCGACGAUCCAUAGCUGGUUUGAGAGGAUGAUCAGCCACACUGGGACUGAGCAACGGACCAGACGCCUACGGGAGGCAGCAGUGGGGAAUCUUGGAAAAUGGGGUAAACCCUGAUCUAGCCAUGCCGCGUGAUCGAUGAAGGCCUUAGGGUUGUAAAGAUCUUUCAGUGGGGAAGAUAAUGACGGUACCCACAGAAGAAGCCCCGGCUAACUCCGUGCCAGCAGCCGCCGUAA